rnacentral:rRNA from 1 species
CCUACGGGUGGCUGCAGUGGGGAAUAUUGGACAAUGGGGGAAAGCCUGAUGCAGCAACGCCGCGUGAGUGAAGAAGGUUUUCGGGUUGUAACGCACUGUUAGCAGGGAAGAGGCAGGAGGGUACCUGAAGAGGAAGCGAGGGCUAAAUACGAGCCAGCAGCCGCGGUAAUACGUAGGUGGCCAGCGUUGUUCGGAAUAACUGGGCGUAAAGGAUGCGUAGUCGGUUAAACAAGUUAUAUGUUAAAUAUAUAGGCUUAACCUGUAGAAAGCAUAUUAAAGUGUUUAACUAGAGUGAAGGAGAGGGAAGUAGAAUUCCUAGUGUAGCAGUGAAAUGCGUAGAGAUGAGGAAGAACACCAGUGGCGAAGGCGACUUACUGGACUGUCACUGACGCUGAGGCAUGAGAGCAUGGGUAGCAAACAGGAUUAGAUACCCUUGUAGUC